ensembl:snRNA U2 U2 spliceosomal RNA
UGAGGUCCUCGUCCUUUGGGCUAAGAUCAAGUGUAGUAUCUGUCCUUACCAGUUUAAUAUCUGACAAAUCCUCUAUCAAAGGACAAUAUAUUAAAUUGAUUUUUGGAGAAAGUAGUCAAAAUAGGUCAUUGAUUCCACACAUCGGCCUGGUAUUGUAGUACUCCCUUUUAGAGAGAGAGAUACUUGGGGUCUCUCCAGAGCUCGAACCCACU